CACCUGCACCCAUUUGAAUUCACGAAAAAUAAGUUCUCAUGAAUUUUCUCCCAUGCAGAAGCCUUCUCACGUUCCUUCUUUGUGCACCAUUUUGAAUGGAUAAUGAUAAGGUUGGUUGGCUAUUCAAAUUCAAAGAAUGUUUGAAUUUUAAUGGUUAACAAAUCCCUGCGCCAUCUCUUUCUUUUGUGCACCACUUCCUCCACACGAGAAAAGGUUUCUUGUG
rnacentral:lncRNA from 1 species